rnacentral:rRNA from 1 species
UACGAAGGGUGCAAGCGUUACUCGGAAUUACUGGGCGUAAAGCGUGCGUAGGUGGUUCGUUAAGUCUGAUGUGAAAGCCCUGGGCUCAACCUGGGAAUGGCAUUGGAUACUGGCGGGCUAGAGUGCGGUAGAGGGCAGUGGAAUUCCCGGUGUAGCAGUGAAAUGCGUAGAGAUCGGGAGGAACAUCUGUGGCGAAGGCGACUGCCUGGACCAGCACUGACACUGAGGCACGAAAGCGUGGGGAGCAAACAGGG